CUCAUUUCAUUCUGAUGAACUAUUAUUUAAAAUUUUCUGAAGGUUAUGACUUUUAUUGAUUUAGAUAUUAUAAAAUUGUCAGCCAAUAAUAUUAAUUAAUAAUAGAAAUAUUAAUUUAGCAACUAAUAAAUAUAAGUGACAAAAAUAGUGCCAGCAGUCGCGGUCACACUAUUACUUUUAAAUAAAUAUCAAACAUAUGUUUAAUAAGUAAAUAAAAUUAUUAUGGUAAAAUAUAUAAUUAAAUAAACGAAUAUUAUUAAUUUAUAUUAUAAAUUUAGAUUUAAAAACUAGGAUUAGAUACCCUAUUAUUCUAAAAAUAAAAAAAUUGUUUAAGUACUACUAUUAUUUAAUAAAAACUUAAAGAUUAUGGCGGUCAAAUUAACUUUUAGGGGAACUUACCUAAUAAUAGAUAACCACCAAUGGAAUAUACUUAUCUUUAGAGUUUGUAUACCGUCGUCAAAAGAAUAUUUAUAAAAUAUAUUCUACAUUAUUUUAUUUAAAAAUGACAGAUCAUGGUGCAACCAAUAGAUAUGAAUAGGCGAGUUACAAUAUACUUUCCGGAUUUUUUUAAAAAUUAAUUUAUAAAGUUGGACUUAAAAGUAAAUAGUAUAAAAAAUAAUUAUUGAAUUAUUUUAAUUUGAUGCACAAAUCGCCCGUCACUCUCUUUAAUAUAAAAUGAGAUAAGUCGUAACAUAGUAGGGGUAGCUGAAGCUGUUCCU
rnacentral:rRNA from 1 species